GGCAGGAAGGACAGACGAGUCGUUUCUCAUUCAGAAACCUGCCACCCGAGCUAAAUUAGAGGCACGCGUAGAUUCGCUUCAGGGGACCAACCCGGGGCAGCCGUCCGGUCUGCUGUUCAGAGAUGGGAAGAAGCGUAUCGAUUACAUCCUGGUGUAUAAGAAGUCCAGUCCUCUGGUGGAAAAGAGAGUCACCUUUGAAAGGAACCUGAGAGCUGAGGGGCUAAUGCUGGAGAAAGAGCCGUCUCUGACCAACACCGACAUCAUGUUUGUGAAGAUCCAUGCUCCGUGGGACACUCUCUGUAAAUACGCUGAGCAGAUGAAUAUCAGAAUGCCAUUCAGAAAAAAAAGUUACUUUACGGAUUGGAAGAGCAAAGCUAUGGGCAGCCGGUUCCAUCUGAGGUGUCGUCAGAUAAAGAGCUGGUUACCCAGGAACCCCAUGAAGCUGGACAAAGAGGCCUUACCUGACCUAGAGGAGACAGACUGCUAUACAGCCCCGUUCAGCAGGGCACGCAUGCACCAUUUUACCAUCAACAACAGACAUACGUUCUUCUCCAACUCCACCAGAAGCAGAAUAGUCCACCAUGUUCUCCAACGCACCAAGUAUGAGGACGGGAAGUCUAAGAUGGGUAUCAAUAGGUUACUGGGAAAUGGGACAUAUGAGGCUGCAUUUCCUCCGCACGAGGGUGGAUACAAGAGCAGACACCCUAUUAAGACCCACGGUGCCCAGAACCACAGACACCUGCUGUACGAGAGGUGGGCUCGCUGGGGCAUGUGGUACAAGUACCAGCCUCUCGACCUUAUCAGGCGUUACUUUGGGGAGAAGAUUGGGCUGUACUUUGCCUGGCUGGGUUGGUACACUGGCAUGCUGAUCCCUGCAGCUCUGGUGGGUCUCCUCGUCUUCCUCUACGGAUUCCUUACCAUGGACACCAGCCAAGUCAGUAAAGAGAUCUGUGAGGCCAACACUACUAUCAUGUGUCCUAUGUGUGAGGAGAACUGCAACCCCUGGAAACUCAGUGACAGCUGUGUCUAUGCAAAGGUGACCCAUCUCUUCGACAAUGGAGGAACUGUGUUCUUUGCUAUCUUUAUGGCAAUAUGGGCCACGGUGUUCUUGGAGUUCUGGAAGAGGAGGAGGGCAGAGCUGACUUAUGACUGGGACCUCAUCGACUGGGAGGAGGAAGAGGAGAAUCUGCGGCCCCAGUUCGAAGCCAAGUACUCCAGAGUAGAGAGAGUAAACCCUAUCUCUGGCAAGCCGGAGCCCUUCCAGCCCUUCACUGACAAACUCAGCAGACUCAUGGUCUCUGUGUCCGGCAUCUUCUUCAUGAUCUCUCUGGUGCUGACUGCAGUGUUUGCGGUGGUGGUGUUCCGACUGAUUGCCAUGGAGAAGUUUGCAUCGUUCGACUGGGAGUUUGUCAAGAAGAACUGGCAGUUUGCCACCUCUGGCACCGGAGUCUGUAUCAACUUCAUGAUCAUCAUGUCUCUCAAUGUGGUAUAUGAAAAGGUGGCCUAUCUGCUCACAAAUUUAGAACACCCACGGACUGAGUCAGAGUGGGAGAACAGUUUUGCUCUCAAGAUGUUUCUCUUCCAGUUUGUUAACUUGAACAGCUCUACCUUCUACAUUGCAUUCUUCCUGGGAAGGUUCGCCGGCAGACCAGGGAAAUAUAAUAAACUGUUUAACAGAUGGAGACUGGAGGAGUGCCACCCCAGUGGCUGUCUGAUCGAUCUGUGUCUACAAAUGGGAGUCAUCAUGGUACUAAAACAGAUCUGGAAUAACUUCAUGGAGCUGGGUUAUCCUCUGCUGCAGAACUGGUGGUCUCGGAGGAAGAUCAAGCAGACAGAGAGGGAAGAGAGGACACGAGGGGGACAGAAUGUGGAGAACAAAGUACAGCUUCCUCAGUGGGACAAAGACUGGAACCUGCAGCCCAUGAACGCCCAUGGACUAGUAGAUGAGUACCUGGAGAUGGUUCUCCAGUUUGGUUUCACCACGAUCUUUGUGGCUGCAUUCCCAUUGGCUCCUCUACUGGCUCUGCUCAACAACAUCAUCGAGAUACGACUGGACGCCUACAAGUUUGUCACCCAGUGGAGGAGACCCAUGCCUGCCAGAGCCACAGACAUAGGUAUCUGGUAUGGUAUCCUGGAGGGGAUCGGCGUGCUGGCUGUCAUCACCAAUGCCUUCGUCAUCGCCAUCACCUCCGACUACAUCCCACGCUUCGUCUACGCGUUCAGAUACGGACCCUGUGUGGACAAGGAAUACCACCACGAGAAGUGUCUGCAAGGCUACAUGAACAGCAGUCUGUCGGUGUUUGACAUGGGCGUGCGCUGGAACGUUAGUGAGGAGCAGAGUAGAUACUGCAGGUACAGAGACUACAGAGCCUCUCCCUGGAGCCCAGUACCAUACGACUUCACUCUGCAGUUCUGGCACGUCCUGGCUGCAAGACUAGCCUUUAUCAUCGUCUUCGAGCACCUGGUGUUUGGUAUCAAGUCGUUCAUCGCGUACCUGAUCCCAGACAUGCCCAAGAGUCUGUGUGACCGCAUGCGGAGGGAGAAGUACCUGAUGCAGGAGAUGAUGUAUGAAGCAGAGCUGGAGCACCUGCAGAAAGAGAGGAAGAAGAACGGCAGGAGAUAUCACCACGAGUGGCCUUAGUGUUAGUCAUGUUAUGUUACGUCCCUGUUAUACAUACAGUACCUCGUCUGCACCUUAGUGUUAGUCAUGUUAUGUUACGUCCCUGUACUACAUACAGUACCUCGUCUGCACCUUAGUGUUAGUCAUGUUAUGUUACGUCCCUGUUAUACAUACAGUACCUCGUCUGCACCUUAGUGUUAGUCAUGUUAUGUUACAUUCCCCUGUACUACAUACAGUACCUCGUCUGCACCUUAGUGUUAGUCAUGUUAUGUUACAUCCCCCUGUACUACAUACAGUACCUCGUCUGCACCUUAGUGUUAGUCAUGUUAUGUUACGUCCCUGUUAGACAUACAGUACCUCAUCUGCACCUUAGUGUUAGUCAUGUUAUGUUACGUCCCUGUACUACAUACAGUACCUCAUCUGCAGCUUAGUGUUAGUCAUGUUAUGUUACGUCCCUGUACUACAUACAGUACCUCAUCUGCACCUUAGUGUUAGUCAUGUUAUGUUAUGUCCCUGUACUACAUACAGUACCUUGUCUGCACACCUAAAUCAUACACACACAAACACACACACACACACACACACACACACACACACACACACACACACACACACACACACACACACACACACACACACACACCAACAUAUGCACUCAGAUCACAUGUUCCCUUCUACACACCAAAGAGGCCCUCUUCUGUCACCAGACCUGAGGCCCUCCCACCAUCCUUCCCUGUACCCCGUUUUUGUCCCCUGCUCCCAUCUCUGUUACUGUCCCCCACCUCCCCUUUCAGCUCUCCAUCCAGCAGGAACCCUAGGCCCUGUCUGUUCCCUGUCACGCCUGUCCUGUGUCAUGUCCUGAAUACGAAUGGGGGGAGAGACCUACCUAUCCAAUUGUAAUGUUUACUAUGCAGAACAAGGGCUGCAGAUCAGUUCACUACUGACUGUCUGCUCUCUUCUCGUCUCACUCUCAUAGCACUCUCCAUAGACACAGAAUGACUAGAACGGAUGUCCCCAUUCAAGUCAACGGUCCAUAAUGGGUGGACAAGACUGGCGGCCAUAUUGAGUGCACCCGUCAAAUUGCUGUGGUCUGAGGGCCUUUGUCCCUUUCUAUGUCAUUCUAUUUCUACGUCGCUCUUCUCUAUGUGGCAGCUAGCCUAUAGCAGCCUGCUAUGACAUAAGACACUCCGGUCCGGUCCGGUGCAGCUCACAACACGGCUGUGUGUUCUGUGUUUGUCUUCCAUGGACUUGGUAUAGGCCAGUCACUGUCCUAUGUGGCUGUCUGACUGUGCUACUGUACUGUGGCACUGAUAGUGGUUCCUCUUGUUGCUUAAGUGAUUCUAUUGACGUAUGUACGUGUCUACCAAAAAUAACAAUGGACAAUAAUAAUGUUGUUUAUGCAUAAUGACUGUAAGUAAUAUUGCCCUCAAAGCAUGCUGAUUCUUUAAAGCAUUUUGGUUCAUUUGUUGAACUGCAGCAUAUCUGGGAAGAUGUUACCAUUCAGAAGUUUGAUAGAGGUUUAAUUAUCUCUAUUUAAAUCAUGUAAAAUGCAUGGUUCAUUUAGUUUUUGUAAUUUCUUGGACAGACAAAGUCCCUGUCUUGAUGCCUGGUUUACUGCACAGUCCGUUUCUAUUCUGUGUGAGCUGAAUGUUAGACAUUUAUUUAUAAUAUUGCUGAGCUUGACUGUGUCUUGAGUUGUGGAUGCUAAUAUGUGAAUAUGGUGUGUGGAUAUUACUACAGUUUUAACCAACCACAAAAUGUGUCACAAACAUCACUCGUGCCUGUUGGUGCUGCAAAUGCUUUACUGUACGUGCAAGAAAAUGUUUCUUGUAAUUUUUCUCCAGUAUGAUUUACAACAACAAACUGAACUGUCUGUCCCCCAAGGAUUUUGUUUGGAGGAAUGUUGUGAUGAGAAAAAUAGGAAAAUAUAACUGCCAAAUUCUGGCAUUUAUUUUCCUCUGUUGAUAGCUCUGCAAGUAGAGAAAACCAACCCAACAGCAACAUGUGAGUCCUGUAGUGAACUAUACUGUACAGACACUGGAGGGCAGUGAGUGCACUGGCAAAUCUGUUCUUCCAUUUACAGAAUCUGUUUCUCAUUGGCUACUGGAAGCAGAGAAUCUGUUUUCUCACUGGGUACUGGAAGCAGAGAAUCUGUCUUCUCAUUGGCUACAGGAAGCACUCAGAAUGUGGCUGAUGAUGCAUCCCAAAUGGCACCCUAUUCCCUUGGUAGUACACUACUUUUGAACAGGGCCCAUAGGGAAUAGGGUGCACUACUUUUGACCAGGACCCAUAGGGAUUAGGGUGCACUACUUUUGACCAGGACCCAUAGGGAAUAGGGUGCACUAUUUUUGACCUGGACUCAUAGGGAAUAGGGUGCACUACUUUUGACCAGGACCCAUAGGGAAUAGGGUGCACUACUUUUCACCUGGGCCCAUAGGGAAUAGGGUGCACUACUUUUGACCUGGGCCCAUAGGGAAUAGGGUGCACUACUUUUGACCUGGACCCACUGGGUCAGAUUAGACAUACCAGUAGCUUGGAUGUCGUGGGCAUCAGAGAGGAACGUCCAGGCACUAUACUUCAUAUUUCAUACUUUCAUGCCAAAAUACAUUAACAGCGCUCCAAAUAUCAUUCGGUUUUCAUUCUUAAAUUGAGCUCAAAUAUUAAAUACAGUCAGAUCAUAACAUUCUCUCUUGUUUGGAAAAAAACAACAUAAAUUCACAGGAAUUAGUUUAGUUGUACCCGAGCAAACAAUAUGAAGUUCUGAGAACGUUCCGCUGAACCUAAGCAAAAAUCACGAGGACGUCGCAAUGUAACAUACCCUAGACUGAGUUUUGUGAUGCUGCCUUUCUUGGUGGUCGAUUCUGAUAUUCUGAAAUGUUCUGAAAGAUCUGGAAUAUAGCAGCGUGGUUUUAACCCUGAGGAUUUCCAGGACAAGCAUUUCAGGAGCAUGACAAACACAUACCAUCUGUGAAAUUACCAGUAGGAUAAGAUAAUAAUAUUUAGCAGGGAAACAAACCCACAAUCCUGACAUUGCUAGAACCGUGAUUACAUUUUACACAUUUUAGUCAUUUAGCAGACGCUCUUAUCCAGAGCGACUUACAGUAGUGAAUACAUACAUUUCAUUCCCCAUACUUGUCCCCCGUGGGAAUUGAACCCACAACCCUGGCGUAGCAAACGCCAUGCUCUACCAACUGAGCCACACGGGAACACAAGAUCACAUUCCCUUAUCCAACAUGUUAAGAUAGUCAAUCACACGUUCUCUUUCCUUUUGGAUUGGGCACUUUGGAGAUAAACAAAAUAUGAUAGAUUUAGGAAAUGGGAUUUUGAUUACUUUGGUUUGGUAGUUUAGAGUUGACCUAGCCCUAUUUCAUUAUAAACAACAAUAUAACUGUUUAGAGUUGACCUAGCCCUGAUACAUUAUAAACAACAAUAUAACUGUUUAGAGGUGACCUAGCCCUAUUUCAUUAUAAACAACAAUAUAACUCUGUUUAGAGUUGACCUAGCCCUAUUUCAUUAUAAACAACAAUAUAACUGUUUAGAGUUGACCUAGCCCUAUUUCAUUAUAAACAACAAUAUAACUGUUUAGAGUUGACCUAGCCCUAUUUCAUUAUAAACAACCUCUGUUUAGAGUUGACCUAGCCCUAUUUCAUUAUAAACAACAAUAUAACUCUGUUUAGAGGUGACCUAGCCCUAUUUCAUUAUAAACAACAAUAUAACUCUGUUUAGAGGUGACCUAGCCCUAUUUCAUUAUAAACAACAAUAUAACUCUGUUUAGAGGUGACCUAGCCCUAUUUCAUUAUAAACAACAAUAUAACUCUGUUUAGAGGUGACCUAGCCCUAUUUCAUUAUAAACAACAAUAUAACUCUGUUUAGAGGUGACCUAGCCCUAUUUCAUUAUAAACAACAAUAUAACUCUGUUUAGAGGUGACCUAGCCCUAUUUCAUUAUAAACAACAAUAUAACUCUGUUUAGAGGUGACCUAGCCCUAUUUCAUUAUAAACAACAAUAUAACUCUGUUUAGAGGUGACCUAGCCCUAUUUCAUUAUAAACAACAAUAUAACUCUGUUUGGAGGUGACCUAGCCCUAUUUCAUUAUAAACAACAAUAUAACUCUGUUUAGAGGUGACCUAGCCCUAUUUCAUUAUAAACAACAAUAUAACUCUGUUUAGAGUUGACCUAGCCCUAUUUCAUUAUAAACAACAAUAUAACUCUGUUUAGAGGUGACCUAGCCCUAUUUCAUUAUAAACAACAAUAUAACUCUGUUUAGAGGUGACCUAGCCCUAUUUCAUUAUAAACAAAAGUUGAACUUAGAGAACUUAGUCACUUUUACUUUUAUUGUAAAUUAUUUAACUUGUACUUUUAUUUUUACACUUGUACUUUUAUUGUAUAUUAUUUAACUUUUACUUUUAUUAUGAAAGUAGUGCUUUAAUUGUAAAUUAUUUAACUUUUAAUUUGAUUGUAAAUUAUUAAACUCUUACUUUUAUUAUUUAAAUUGUACUUUUAUUGUAAAUUAUUUCACUUAAUUUUAUUGUAAAUUAUUAAACUUACUUUUAUUAAUUAAAUUGUACUUUAUCGUAAAUUAUUUAACUAACUUUUAUUGUUAAUUAUUUAAAUUUGAAUUUAUUGUAAAUGUAUUGUAAAUUACUUUCAACUGUUAUCAUUUUCCAAUGUACUUUUCCAUGUAUUGUAUAUAUUGUUUACUUUCUAUAAAUGUGUUAUUUUUUUCCAGUUUACUUUGCUAUGUAUAUUCUUUUCAAAUGUAUUAUUAUUAUCUAUGAUUGUGUAUAAUAUUUUUUGUAGCGAUUCUGAAUGCAAUCGACCAGCAUGACGUUCACCUCUCUGUACCUGCAAUCGAGGCAAUGUAACCAUAGAAAAAUAAUUACAAGAACAGUAUUCCUGUUCAUUCUCCCCUGUUCUGAUGGGCUUUUUCCCAGAAAUCUAGAAAUCAUAUAUCUAUGAACGUUAAAAGAAAAAAUCCACUUUUCCUCAGCUGUCCUCUGAAUGUUUGACAGGUGAUUUAACUUUGUAUCAUAUUUUCUUAGCUGCUAUCAAUAGACAUUCAUUUGCUUUUUCAAAAUAUAUAUUUUUGCACUCCUGCAUUUGCAUGACUAUGAUGCACCAACACUUAUAAGUCAGUUGCUUAAGCACCUUAAAUUAAAGUAAAAAAAAGCUGUUAAUUUAUUGUAUCAAAUGAACACAUAUAGAGAAUCAGAGUUUAUAUUAUAAUCAUCAUCAGAAAAUAACCACAUACAGUCAGUACAUCCAUGUAUAGUCAAGAAUAUUUUAUUUCUUUUUUUAUACAUAUCACUGUUGCUAUUGUCAGAAUACACUGUCCAACACAUCAGUUAAAAACAUGAUUUGCUAAAUAUUAAUUUGUUUCCUCAUAUACAGUGCCUUCAGAAUGUAUUCACAGCCAUUUACUUUUUCCACAUUUCGUUGUGUUACAGCCUGAAUUAAACAUGGAUUAAAUUUAGAUUUUGUGUCCCUGGCCUACACACAAUACCCCAUAAUGUCAAAGUAGAAUUGUUUUUAGAAUUUUUUACAAAUGAAUUAAAAAUGAAAAGCUCAAAUGUCUUGAGUCAAUAAGUAUUCAACCCCUUUGUUAUGGUAAGCCUAAAUAAGUUCAGGAUUAAACAUUUGCUUAACAAGUCACAUAAUAAGUUGCAUUGAUUCAUCUGCGUGCAAUAAUAGUGUUUCAGAUGAUUUUUGAACGACUACCUCAUCUCUGUACCCCACACAUACAAUUAUCUCUAAUGUCCUUCAGUCCAGCAGUGAAUUUCAAACACAUAUUCAACCACAAAGAUCAGGGAGGUUUUCCAAUUCCUCGCAAAGAAGGGCACCUAUUGGUAGAUUGGUAAAACUAUAAAAGCAGACAUUGAAUAUCCCUUUGAGCAUGGUGAACUUAUUAAUUACACUUUGGAUGCUGUAUCAAUACACCCAGUCACUACAAAUAUCCAGGCGUCCUUCAGUUGCCAGAAAGGAAGGAAAACUGCUCAGCGAUUUCACCAUGAGGCCGAUGGUGACUUCAAAACAGUUAUAGAGUUUAAAGGAUGUGGAUAGGUGAAAACUGAGGAUGGAUCAACAACAUUGUAGUUACCCCACAAUACUGACCUAAAUGACAGGGUGAAAAGAAGGAAGCCUGUACAGAUUAACAAAUAUUACAAAACAUCCUGUUCACAGGAGGUUGGUGGCACCAUAAUUGACAAAGCGUUAUGUCUGGGGCAAAUCCAACACAACACAUCACUGAAUAGCACUCUUCAUAUUUUCAAGCAGAGUGGUAGUUGCAUCAUGUUAUGGGUAUGCUUGUAAUCGUUAAGGUCUAGAGAGUGUUUUAGGAUAAAAAGAAGCAGAAUAGAGCUAAGCAGAGGCGAAAUCCUAGCGGAAAACCUGGUUCAGUCUGCUUACCAACAGACAGUGGAGACAAAUGCACUUUUCAGCAGGACAAUAACCUAAAACACAAAUCCAAAUAUACACUGGAGUUACUUACCAAGACAACAUUGAAUGUUCCUGAGUGGCCGACUUGUAAUUUUGACUUAAAUCUGCCUUAAGAUCUAUGGCAAAACUUGAAAAUGGCUGUAUAGCAAAGACUAACAACCAACUUGACAGACCUCCAAGAAUGUAAGAAUUUUAAAAAGAAUAAUGUGCAAAUAUUGUACUAUCCAGGUGUGCAAAUCUCUUAGAGACUUACCCAGAAAGACUCACAGCUGUAAUCGCUGUAAUCGCUGAAUACUUAUGUAAAUUUGAUAUUUCUGUAUUUCAUUUUCAAUACAUUUGUAAAAAUGUCUAAAAAACAUGUUUUCACUUUGUAAUUAUGGUGUAUUGUGUGUCGAUGUGUGAGAAAAACAUCUAUGUAAUACAUUUUGAGUUCAGUCUGUAACACAACAACAUGUGGAAUAAGUCAAGGGGUAUGAACACUUUCUGAAGGCUCUGUAAAUACAAGACACAGUCUCAUCAUACAUUUACACAUUUGAUCAUUCUUUUGAGGAUUGUUUUGUUUUGGGACUGAUUGGCUGAGGAAUGGUCAAACAUUUUCCCUUUGAUGUGAUUGGACUGAAAACACCUUCCCUUCGAUGUGGUUGGUCAUUUGAAAUCUAUGCAUGUCGUAAUCAUGACUACAGCAUCCAUCUUGAACAGUGUCCAAAGGAGAUAUUGAUUAUGAGUGUUUUUUAGUGUUGAGUCUGCAUUAAUCAGAGCUUACCUGUGUCAAGUCUAUAAGUCAAUGAUUAGUGUCUUGGAAAACAUGUCACUAUUCUGUCCAACAACAAAAUAGUUUCUUAUUUCAUCAUGAUUGAUCAUACAUGAUGUUUCUCAGUCAAGAUAAUGGAUUGUUGAUUGAUUGUAUAAUACCCUGAUUGAUGUACGAGGCUGACUUUUCUUCCAAAGACAUGUUGUAAAGAAGAGCAUUUUGUUGCAUUGUGUUUUCAUAUGUCAUCAUAAUGCUUAUUAGUGUUUCUGGGACGGACGCAGCGAAACCUUUCUUGGUGAAGCUUAAGGCCUAGAUUCAAUCAGAUCAAGAGUUAACGGGCGAUAGCAGACACCCGCAUAGCUGAUGUUUUGGAGGUGUCGCUGUAAAGCUGAAUUUAAGCUGAAUUUCCACAAUGCGGAUUAAAUAGGAGCCCAAAGACUGGAAAUUGGAAUCUGGGUGGAAAUAUUGUUUUGUUGAUAUUAUUUUAGAACUCACCUGGUUAAAAAGGAUGAAUAAAAAUAUAUAAAUACAAAGAUCAAAUAAUCUGGUGGGUCACAUGGAAAUGAGAAUGAUUUUAGUUGUUGCAGCACACAAAAAAAAUGUUUUUGCACCUUCAGGGGGCGGUUUCCCAGACACAGAUUAAGACUACUCCUGGACUAAAUAGCAAGAUCAAUGUAGAAUCUCCAUUUAAAAAAAUGGAUUAGGAAUCUGUGUCCCUGAAACGUGUCUCUGAAUCUGUGUCCCUGAAACGUGUCUCUGAAUCUGUGUCCCUGAAACGGCCCCUAAAGGUGUUUGAUGGAAGCACAGUAGACCAUAGAUUUCCUAUCUAUAUGAUGUCAUCCAUUUGUCUAACAUGAGGUAUGUCAAUACUGAACACUGUUAUCACUUCAUCCCUAUGGAAAAGCAUAGCAGAAUAUGUACAAAGAGAAUGAUCAUAUGAUAUAACAUAAUCAGAUUUGGAUAUCACCCUUUUUCUGUAAUAAAUCAUGGCUCUUUUAAAUCAA